AAACUUCCGUUGGCUUUAUUGACCGUGAGGGUUCAAGUCCCUCUACCCCCAAAACUA
rnacentral:tRNA from 1 species